CUCUGAUCCAGGGAGACCCUCUGCUUCUCUCUGAUUGGUUCCAGCUUUCUACAGGAGGUCCAGUGCAGCUGAAUGGUGAUGAUAGUGCAAAUCAGUAACACUGACACUGUCUCCAUCCACACCCGUCACCUCCUGUUUGUCCACUGACAGCCCUGGAGGUCUUCAACACACAGUCCGCAGUACAGACAUCUUACCAUCAGUGACUGACAGAUUAACCUGAUCAGAGAGGCUCCACUGUACUUCACACCACACCAGUACCGAUCGGAAUCCUCAGCUGUCAGAUUGUUGAUGGUCACAGUGAAGACUCGCUGUACGGGACUCCACUCCAACAACCGCUGCAAAAACCGCGCCUCCCUGAGAGCCAUCACCCAUCAGCUCAUCAGCCACUGCAACCAACUGCAAAGACCUCCCUCUUUCCUGCAUCCAAGUAAACCAACUUCCUUUCCUUUCUAACAACCUAAACUGUCCUUUUCACCUGCUAUAUUUCUUUAGGUUUAUAUUCCUACAAACUGCUUGCUUUGCAGAACAGUUUUUCCCUUUUUAGGUUAAUCAUUUUAAAUCUGGUCACUGCAUUUUCAUGAUU